AUAUAAACAAGUACAUCCUCAGCUGCACGUCAACGUCACGCGCACUCGCAGUGACCUCAAAGUAGUGUGCCCGUAGGCAAAUAUGUACAGAACCAGUAAUGUAAGUAAGAAAGUUUUAAGUACAGUCAUCCAAGAGAAAGUCGGCUCCAAAAUGGCCUGAACAAAAGACCCCUAUAGUCCGACAGACUCUCUGUGAUUCC
rnacentral:lncRNA from 1 species